UGAAACUCAACAUGGCUCUCUUAGUCCUGAAUGUGAGUGACCUGCAUCUCUGACCUGAGGGUAGAAGACUGUAUUGGCUGUGCAGUGAGUGAGUGGUGUCUGAGGCUAUUUGUGUUCCUUUUAGUUUAGUCCUUCUAUUGUAAAUACUGAUCAGUGGUUCCUGCUCCAGUCCGAUUAUUUUACUGCUCAUUGAUAUGAUUUGUUUAGUGGGUUGCGAUGGAUGUUGGAUAGUGACCCAAACCAGGCUGACAUAUUGAAGGUUAUUACUGAUUCAAUGAAACAUUUGUAAAAAGCUGUCGGGACUGACAGGUGAACCUGAAGUCUGCGGAGUUUCCUCAGGAAAAAGAGGCGCUGCUGACACUUAGAAAAUAUAGUUUCACUGUUUAGUUGGAAGCGAAAAGGAAUGG